GGUAGAGCGUCAAGGGGGAGACUGGGGGGUUGAUGAGGGCUAUUGAGGGUUAUCGGGGGCAGUGGGGUUAACAGAGGAGUUGUGGGGGCUGCAGGGGGGGCUGAGACCUGCCCUUCCUUCCCAUGGCCAUGGGGGUCCCUGUCACUACCUCUGCCCCAUGGUGUGUCAGUCCCCCCAAGAGCGCUCUUCCCCCAAACUGCUGCAGCCUGAAGCGAACCUUUGCCUGCACCAACUUGCUGCUGCUCAGCCUGGCCAAGCCUGAUGCUGCUGCAGACGGGGAGGCUUCCCCUGGCCCCCAACUCUGCGCCCCGUGCCCCAAGGAUAACACCGAGCCCACCGCCCCACCGGAGAGUUCAUCACCACCGCCUCGCCUGUCCCAGUGAAGACGACGAAACGUGGCCCUUGGCGAGCAGGACAACUACCCACCCAUUAUAAGACACCGUACCGCUGGCAGCAUGCUGGAUCCAUGCCGUGAAUGUGCCUCUACAAAUACAGUGUGGCUCUUCCCUUGGGGACUCUGGGCCUCAGUUAUACCUCUCAAAUUCUUCGAGUCUUCCUUCCCUCCUGUGCUAAAUGUGGGUGAUGUAUCAUCUUGACGAUGAAAUCAAAACUCUUCUGGGUUUGUA